rnacentral:lncRNA from 1 species
AAAAAACUGCAAACAUUUAAAUUCAAACACAUUGUUGAGUUUUAAAGUGUUAUAAAUAUGUCAUGUUAACAAAUGCUGUUGUUUCCAGGCUAUUGCAAAUCAUCAACAACAAUCACGCACACUUUCAACAUAUUAAACAAUGGGGGAGAAUAUGCAGUACUCAUGAAUGAUACGGGUGCAGGCAUACAAAUGUGGUUUCUCCAAAAUACAUCUGAACUUCUGCAGUGUGAUUUCCUCAAUUCAACAGGAUUCACAUCAAACUUAACCUCAUGUAUAACCACCCAAACCACUGGCAACCCAAAUACCACCACCGAAAGUCUUACAACCACCCAAACCACUGGCAACCCAAAUACCACCACCGAAAGUCUUACAACCACCCAAACAACUGGCAACCCAAACAGCACCUGCACUAACAAAGCAUGCACAUUUAAAGGUUGUUUGAACAUCCGUAAUGUUGAUCCUGCACAGGAAUGUACUAAUGCUCCGUUCAGCAACGAUACCUGCAUAGGUAAGUCUAAGGGUAAAGAAAUAAACUACUCUUUUGGGAGUUUGGAAGAUUGAGGAGAAUUCAAUCAUUUUC